rnacentral:tRNA from 1 species
ACGAUCGGCUGGAUCUUCGGAUCUCCCCGAUAUGAACCUUCCCGUGCUUUUUAGAACAUAGAUGGCACCAGUCAGGUGACCAUCGAAACGUAAUACGCCGCGAUGACUUCGGUCACGACGGUAUGGCGAGCUUUCGCCGUCCACGUUUCUCUUUCUUCAAGAAGACAAAAAACCGCGUCGAUCCAGUUUAGGCUGGGCCGGUUCCCCGAAUGGGCCCGUAGCUCAGUUGGUUAGAGCACACGCUUGAUAAGCGUGGGGUCGGAAGUUCAAGUCUUCCCGGGCCCACCAUUCGCAUAUGCGAAUGAGGGUUAGGGAUGAUGGAAUGUGGCUGAUGCGGAACGUUGCCGAACCUGGUUUAUACCGGGUGAUCGAGCUGGAGGGGCUGUAGCUCAGCUGGGAGAGCACCUGCUUUGCAAGCAGGGGGUCAGCGGUUCGAUCCCGCUCAGCUCCACCAAAUCGAUUGGUGUUGAAGCUGACGGCAUUUGUCUUUUGAAGAAAUAAAAGUUUUGCAUCGGCUUAUGGCUGAUGCGUGUUCUGCAUACAUUGUGAAGAGAAGAUUGAUCUGGAGGCUUCCAGGUGUUUUGGGUUCUGCCCAAGGCGUCCGAGCCCAGUUCCUGUGAACCCAUGGAUGGCCUAGCCGGCCGGAUGUGGUGGAGGGAUUGGAGGUAGGAAGGAAGCUUGUCGCUCUGAGCCGUUGUUGUUUGUGGUCUUUCGGGACUGCAUCUGACGGACGGCUUGAUUACCGUUGCCUGACCGCGCGGUAUCGGAUCAUAUCUCGAGAAGCUGGUCUUAAGACAGGCUGCAAGCGAGCUGCUCGGCGUAGCUCCAAUAAAGCAGACCUGUCGAACACGUUAAUGGCAUUGUUAGAAAGCGUGAUUGUAAAAGGUAAUCACGCAUGUUUGGCCCGACCGCACGGCAAUCGCAAGGUUGUCCGGAUGGUCGGAUUUGGCACCCCGCGAGGCGAAAGCGAGCGGACAAGGUCUGCCAAAUCAAACAAAGACGAUGAGCAUUGGCAAUGAGAACGAUUAAGUGUCGUAAGGGCAUUUGGUGGAUGCCUUGGCAUGCACAGGCGAUGAAGGACGUGAUACGCUGCGAAAAGCCG